rnacentral:misc_RNA from 1 species
AAAGAACCCAACCAAAAGCUGAUUUCGAGAAUCAAUCAAGCUAAUAAGCUCAUAUAACCCCAUGUCAACGAUGCAAAGCAAAAGUUAAAUUUGAAACUCUACUAGCUACAUUUCUUAAUCUUCUUUUUUUAAGUUGAGAUUUAUUUGCAUAAUCAUACACUUUUUUAUGAUAACUAAUCUCAUUGAUCACACAUAGUGACCACCUAUGUAUAAUAUAUACACGGGGUCAAAUAGAAAUAGGUAACAUCUAAAUAGGUAUAUGUAAUAAAUUAAUUUUAGGAAUCUUG